rnacentral:rRNA from 1 species
GCAGCCGCGGUAAUACGGGGGAUGCAAGCGUUAUCCGGAUUUAUUGGGUUUAAAGGGUGCGUAGGCGGUCUGGUAAGUCAGCGGUGAAAUUUAGGGGCUCAACCUCUACCGUGCCGUUGAUACUGCCGGGCUAGAAUGCGGAUGCCGUGGGAGGAAUGUGUGGUGUAGCGGUGAAAUGCAUAGAUAUCACACAGAACACCGAUUGCGAAGGCAUCUCACGAAUCCGCAAUUGACGCUGAGGCACGAAAGCGUGGGGAUCAAACAGGAUUAGAUACCCC